rnacentral:rRNA from 1 species
GAUGAACGCUGGCGGCGUGCCUAAUACAUGCAAGUCGAGCGAACGGACGAGGAGCUUGCUUCUCUGACGUUAGCGGCGGACGGGUGAGUAACACGUGGGUAACCUACCUAUAAGACUGGGAUAACUUCGGGAAACCGGAGCUAAUACCGGAUAAUAUUUUGAACCGCAUGGUUCAAUAGUGAAAGAUGGCUUUGCUGUCACUUAUAGAUGGAUCCGCGCUGCAUUAGCUAGUUGGUAAGGUAACGGCUUACCAAGGCAACGAUGCAUAGCCGACCUGAGAGGGUGAUCGGCCACACUGGAACUGAGACACGGUCCAGACUCCUACGGGAGGCAGCAGUAGGGAAUCUUCCGCAAUGGGCGAAAGCCUGACGGAGCAACGCCGCGUGAGUGAUGAAGGUCUUCGGAUCGUAAAACUCUGUUAUUAGGGAAGAACAAAUGUGUAAGUAACUGUGCACAUCUUGACGGUACCUAAUCAGAAAGCCACGGCUAACUACGUG